rnacentral:rRNA from 1 species
GACGAACGCUGGCGGCGCGCCUAACACAUGCAAGUCGAACGAGCGAGAGAGAGCUUGCUUUCUCGAGCGAGUGGCGAACGGGUGAGUAACGCGUGAGGAACCUGCCUCAAAGAGGGGGACAACAGUUGGAAACGACUGCUAAUACCGCAUAAGCCCACAGCUCGGCAUCGAGCAGAGGGAAAAGGAGUGAUCCGCUUUGAGAUGGCCUCGCGUCCGGUUAGCUGGUUGGUGAGGUAACGGCCCACCAAGGCAACGAUCGGUAGCCGGACUGAGAGGUUGAACGGCCACAUUGGGACUGAGACACGGCCCAGACUCCUACGGGAGGCAGCAGUGGGGAAUAUUGCACAAUGGGGGAAACCCUGAUGCAGCGACGCCGCGUGGAGGAAGAAGGUCUUCGGAUUGUAAACUCCUGUUGUUGAGGAAGAUAAUGACGGUACUCAACAAGGAAGUGACGGCUAACUACGUGCCAGCAGCCGCGGUAAAACGUAGGUCACAAGCGUUGUCCGGAAUUACUGGGUGUAAAGGGAGCGCAGGCGGGAAAGCAAGUUGGAAGUGAAAUCCAUGGGCUCAACCCAUGAACUGCUUUCAAAACUGUUUUUCUUGAGUAGUGCAGAGGUAGGCGGAAUUCCCGGUGUAGCGGUGGAAUGCGUAGAUAUCGGGAGGAACACCAGUGGCGAAGGCGGCCUACUGGGCACCAACUGACGCUGAGGCUCGAAAGUGUGGGUAGCAAACAGG